AUCUUUGAGAUCAUACUGGAAAUGUUUAUAAUCGAAGUAAACCAGCAGGCAGAGAGCAAAGUCCGACUCAGAAUACUCGUCAUCGAAAUAAGUGCAUGUUAAGCGCAGGAUCUGCAGAGUGAACCUUAGGACGUUCCCGAUUGUCAUCCUCAUACCUCCUGUACCGGCGCAUUAUUAAUCUGUUUCAAUUUUUCGGACAUAUCGCUUAUCAUUUGAUGACUGCGUAUGUCCAAAUUGGUCAAGACCAUCUCCAGUACCUCAACCGGAAAGUCCAGCAGUUGAAUUGAAUCAAUGUAGAUCAGUUAAAUGAUGUUUAAGGCACUACCUGACCUUAGAUCCAGUGUUUGGCCACAAAUUUGCAGUUCUCAGCCAUAUGUCACCACCUAGUCAACGUCUCAAUUAGCUAACCGUCGGAUAUGUGCUCCCAUCAGGGCUUGUUCAUUAGACGCCAUCAGCGGCAGGAAGCUCCAAAGUGUUGAAAAGCCAAUUAGCUUUGAGCGCCGGAAGGAAGCCAUAGGGGCUGUGCGUGUAAAUGGAGGCUAACUGGAGUUCUGGAAAAUUUAAAGUCUUGUGAAUGGAGCCUUCGAAACCGCAGCCACUCCCACUCCGACCACCUGCCACCCCCGCCACCACCAACAAUCCACCCACCCUUAGGAUCUUCCCACACCGGAGCUGCGUAAUUUUCUGCGUCAUUUAAUUAAGCCGAUUCAUGGCGCCCUCAAGGGUGGUGAGCCGCGCCCGGCUAAUCCGACGUCGUAGUCUGUCCCACAAGUCGAAGCUCCCACACAUCUACACAUCCGCACGCCCAAAUGUGCCCGGUGUUUGUCGGGCUUAAGUGCCAACUGCUUAUGCGGUAUUAAUUGGCAUCACUCGAUGUCCAGUGCCAAAAACAUUGAUACAAUGUCUUGCGGCCUAAUCUAUAAGUCAUCUUCAUCUAAACUGCCGAUCUGGGCUUCUUGACCCGAGUGUCGGCCAGGAAACAGGACACCACUCGAUUCUCGUCAUCGGAGUCCAGCAGACGAACUUCUAGGCGCGUGGGCACCUCCGGCUGGUUGGUGGUGACUGGCAGGAGCAGCUGGUAGGUCACAUCCUCGCCAGCAUCCAGGGGACAGUAGGCGCCAUGGAGCAGAUUGCUGCACACAUUGCCACGGGAGGCUUCUAGGUCAUAGGGUAUGGUCACUCCCAGCGAGGUCAGAUGCACUUCGGCUGAUAGCUUCUUCAUGGUAUUGCGAGCUAAUGG
ensembl:ncRNA asRNA:CR45205 antisense RNA:CR45205